UACGUAGGGGGCGAGCGUUGUCCGGAUUUAUUGGGCGUAAAGAGCGUGUAGGCGGUUCGGUAAGUCUGUCGUGAAAAUCCUGAGGCUCAACCUCGGGCGUGCGAUGGAUACUGCCGGGGCUAGAGGGUGGUAGAGGCGAGUGGAAUUCCCGGUGUAGCGGUGAAAUGCGCAGAUAUCGGGGAGGAACACCAGUAGCGAAAGGCG
rnacentral:rRNA from 1 species